rnacentral:rRNA from 1 species
GACGAACGCUGGCGGCGCGCCUAACACAUGCAAGUCGAACGAGCGAGAGAGAGCUUGCUUUCUUGAGCGAGUGGCGAACGGGUGAGUAACGCGUGAGGAACCUGCCUCAAAGAGGGGGACAACAGUUGGAAACGACUGCUAAUGCCGCAUAAGCCCACGACCCGGCCUCGGGUUGAGGGAAAAGGAGCAAUCCGCUUUGAGAUGGCCUCGCGUCCGAUUAGCUAGUUGGUGAGGUAACGGCCCACCAAGGCGACGAUCGGUAGCCGGACUGAGAGGUUGAACGGCCACAUUGGCACUGAGACACGGCCCAGACUCCUACGGGAGGCAGCAGUGGGGAAUAUUGCACAAUGGGGGAAACCCUGAUGCAGCGACGCCGCGUGGAGGAAGAAGGUCUUCGGAUUGUAAACUCCUGUUGUUGAGGAAGAUAAUGACGGUACUCAACAAGGAAGUGACGGCUAACUACGUG